rnacentral:rRNA from 1 species
GAUGAACGCUGGCGGCGUGCCUAAUACAUGCAAGUCGAGCGAACAGAUAAGGAGCUUGCUCCUUUGACGUUAGCGGCGGACGGGUGAGUUACACGUGGAUAACCUACCUAUAAGACUGGGAUAACUUCGGGAAACCGGAGCUAAUACCGGAUAACAUAUUGAACCGCAUGGUUCAAUAGUGAAAGGCGGCUUUGCUGUCACUUAUAGAUGGAUCCGCGCCGUAUUAGCUAGUUGGUAAGGUAACGGCUUACCAAGGCAACGAUACGUAGCCGACCUGAGAGGGGGGUGCGCCACACUGGGAACGAGACCCGGGCCAAACUCCUACGGGGGGCAGCAGGAGGGAAUCUUCCGGAAUGGGCGAAAGUCUGGACGAGCCACGCCGGGGGAGUGAAGAAGGUUUUCGGAUCGUAAAACUUUGUUUGUAGGGAAGAACAAAAGUUAGAGUUAACUGCGCACCUCGUGACGGUACCUAAUCAGAAAGCCACGGCUAACUACGUG